AUACGUAGGGGGCGAGCGUUGUCCGGAAUGAUUGGGCGUAAAGGGCGCGUAGGCGGCCCGGUAAGUCUGGAGUGAAAGUCCUGUUUUUAAGAUGGGAAUUGCUUUGGAUACUGUCGGGCUUGAGUGCAGGAGAGGUAAGUGGAAUUCCCAGUGUAGCGGUGAAAUGCGUAGAGAUUGGGAGGAACACCAGUGGCGAAGGCGACUUACUGGACUGUAACUGACGCUGAGGCGCGAAAGUGUGGGGAGCAAACAGGAUUAGAUACCCUGGUAGUCCACACUGUAAACGAUGAAUGCUAGGUGUAGGGGGUAUCGACCCCUUCUGUGCCGCAGUCAACACAAUAAGCAUGCCGCCUGGGGAGUACGGC
rnacentral:rRNA from 1 species